rnacentral:lncRNA from 1 species
CACGGGUGCUACGGGGCUGGGGGGCUUUCCGCCUUCCACCCUGGUGCCUCCGUGGGCAGCCUGGACCAGGCCUUGGUGGACCUGCAGCACGGCUGGGGCGCUGCGACCAGCGCCUUCUCCUCCUGGACGUGAGCUCCGCACCUUGUCUUCUCUCUGGCCCGCGGGGGAGCGGCUGGUGCCCCCCCACCGCCGGGGGGAAGCCCCGGGGGAGAUUGGACCCAGGACACCGGGCCGCGUCCUCACUCUUGGACGGAGGCUGCGGAGACAAAGGAAGCGAGCACGGGCUGCGCGGCCGGGGCGGGGCGGCCACCCUGGCCCACCUCCCCCUCCUGGGUCCCCACCAGGGCCGGGAGCUCUGUGGAGACAGGUGCCGAGCGCGGAGCUCGCGUCUGCGCUGAUGUCAGCCUCCCGAAGUGUCCUGGUCCGGUGCCGAGGCCGCCUCCACCCCCCCCGCGGGCCGGCGUCGCCCUGGCCUGGCUCCGUGGGGACGGCUCCGGGCUGCGGCUGGCAGCCACCGUCCUGGUGCUCGGGCCUCACCCGGGACCAGAGAGGGCCUGAGACCCGAACGUGGGCCCGGAUAGCUCGUCUUCCAGGAAGCCCUCCUCGCCUCCCCGCGUCCAGGUUCCGUGUCACUGCCGGCUCAAAGCCGGGCUCUCCCCGGAGGGCGCCUGCGCUGCGUGCGAGCUGGUGUUUGGGUCCGAUUCUAGGCCAGGCCCUGUGCUAGGCCCCUUCCCCAAGGCUGGCACGGCGACCCCCUGAUCCGCAGAGCGGAGUCCGGGCCCCCGACAGGCUGGUGCCCUGUCCCAGGACCCUUCACUCCCAGAGGCCGGAACCCAUCCCAGAGCCGUGCCUGCUCACCCCCAGCCGCUUUCCCCGUCUCUCCACCCCCGCCCCCGGCCCGGCUCCUGCCAAGAAGGGAGCCCGUGGGCCCGUUGGCAGCUGGCACGGUAGCCGGGUCUCCAUAGUUGAUGAAAGCACAGGGAGGAACCAGAACGGAGGCCAGCAUGGAGGCGGAGGGGUCAUGAUGGACAGAAGGAAAUUUAUAUUUGUUGGCAUCCAGCUGCCUCCGCAGUGACAUAAUCGGGAGGAUUUUACUGACCGGGCAAUAAAACAGCUCACAACCGCGGACGCUCGGUGCCU